GCCGCCCUAGCUCAGUCGGCAGAGCGAUUCACUCGUAAUGAAUAGGUCAGGGGUUCGAUUCCCCUGGGCGGCU
rfam:Mycobacterium wolinskyi strain CDC_01 Contig_9, whole genome shotgun sequence.